rnacentral:rRNA from 1 species
UGGGGAAUUUUGGACAAUGGGCGAAAGCCUGAUCCAGCAAUGCCGCGUGAGUGAAGAAGGCCUUCGGGUUGUAAAGCUCUUUUGUCAGGGAAGAAACGGUGAAGGCUAAUAUCCUUUGCUAAUGACGGUACCUGAAGAAUAAGCACCGGCUAACUACGUGCCAGCAGCCGCGGUAAUACGUAGGGUGCAAGCGUUAAUCGGAAUUACUGGGCGUAAAGCGUGCGCAGGCGGUUUUGUAAGUCUGAUGUGAAAUCCCCGGGCUCAACCUGGGAAUUGCAUUGGAGACUGCAAGGCUAGAAUCUGGCAGAGGGGGGUAGAAUUCCACGUGUAGCAGUGAAAUGCGUAGAUAUGUGGAGGAACACCGAUGGCGAAGGCAGCCCCCUGGGUCAAGAUUGACGCUCAUGCACGAAAGCGUGGGGAGCAAACA